GAUGAACGCUGGCGGCGUGCCUAAUACAUGCAAGUCGAGCGAACAGAUGAGGAGCUUGCUCCUUUGACGUUAGCGGCGGACGGGUGAGUAACACGUAGGUAACCUACCUAUAAGACUGGGAUAACUUCGGGAAACCGGAGCUAAUACCGGAUAAUAUUUCGAACUGCAUGGUUCGAUAGUGAAAGAUGGCUUUGCUAUCACUUAUAGAUGGACCUGCGCCGUAUUAGCUAGUUGGUAAGGUAACGGCUUACCAAGGCAACGAUACGUAGCCGACCUGAGAGGGUGUUCGGCCACACUGGAACUGAGACACGGUCCAGACUCCUACGGGAGGCAGCAGUAGGGAAUCUUCCGCAAUGGGCGAAAGCCUGACGGAGCAACGCCGCGUGAGUGAUGAAGGUCUUCGGAUCGUAAAACUCUGUUAUUAGGGAAGAACAAACGUGUAAGUAACUGUGCACGUCUUGACGGUACCUAAUCAGAAAGCCACGGCUAACUACGUGCCAGCAGCCGCGGUAAAAC
rnacentral:rRNA from 1 species